UACGGGGGGGGGCAAGCGUUGUUCGGAAUUACUGGGCGUAAAGGGCGCGUAGGCGGCCUGCUAAGUCGGAUGUGAAAUCCCUCGGCUCAACCGAGGAACUGCAUCCGAUACUGGCGGGCUUGAAUCCGGGAGAGGGAUGUGGAAUUCCAGGUGUAGCGGUGAAAUGCGUAGAUAUCUGGAGGAACACCGGUGGCGAAGGCGGCAUCCUGGACCGGUAUUGACGCUGAGGCGCGAAAGCUAGGGGAGCAACGGG
rnacentral:rRNA from 1 species